rnacentral:rRNA from 1 species
GAUCCUGGCUCAGGAUGAACGCUGGCGGCGUGCCUAAUACAUGCAAGUCGAGCGAGAAUCUCCUUUGAAGCGUUUUCGGACAAUUCUGUGGAGAGGAAAGCGGCGGACGGGUGAGUAACGCGUAGGCAACCUGCCCUUAGCAGAGGGAUAGCCAUUGGAAACGAUGAUUAAAACCUCAUAAUGCCAUUCUUACACAUGUUUGGAUGGCCAAAGAUUUAUCGGCUAAGGAUGGGCCUGCGUCUGAUUAACUAGUUGGUGAGGUAACGGCCCACCAAGGUGACGAUCAGUAGCCGACCUGAGAGGGUGAUCGGCCACAUUGGAACUGAGACACGGUCCAAACUUCUACGGAAGGCAGCAGUAAGGAAUCUUGCACAAUGGGGGAAACCCUGAUGCAGCAACGCCGCGUGAACGAUGAAGGCCCUAGGGUUGUAAAGUUCUGAUCUGUGGGAAGAAGAAAGUGACGGUACCACAGGAGAAAGCCCCGGCUAACUACGUGCC